rnacentral:rRNA from 1 species
GGAUCAAGGGAUCGGUCAUGCCUUGGUAUGUACUGGUCUUAUUGGUUCUCACCUUCUAAAGAACCAUGAUGUCAUUCAUUUGAUGUUAUGGGGAAUUAGGACUGUUACCUUGAAAAAAUUAGAGUGUUUAAAGCAGGCUUACGCUUGAAUACAUUAGCAUGGAAUAAUAGAAUAGGACUU